UACGUAGGGGGCAAGCGUUGUCCGGAUUUAUUGGGCGUAAAGAGCGUGUAGGCGGCUUGGCAAGUCCGCUGUGAAAACUCGAGGCUUAACCUCGAGACGUCGGUGGAAACUGCUUGGCUAGAGUCCGGAAGAGGAGAGUGGAAUUCCUGGUGUAGCGGUGAAAUGCGCAGAUAUCAGGAAGAACACCGAUAGCGAAGGCAGCUUACUAGACUGUAACUGACGCUGAUGCACGAAAGUGUGGGGAUCAAACAGG
rnacentral:rRNA from 1 species